rnacentral:rRNA from 1 species
GACGAACGCUGGCGGCGUGCUUAACACAUGCAAGUCGAACGGAAAGGCCCAAGCUUGCUUGGGUACUCGAGUGGCGAACGGGUGAGUAACACGUGGGUGAUCUGCCCUGCACUUCGGGAUAAGCCUGGGAAACUGGGUCUAAUACCGGAUAGGACGAUGGUUUGGAUGCCAUUGUGGAAAGUUUUUUCGGUGUGGGAUGAGCUCGCGGCCUAUCAGCUUGUUGGUGGGGUAAUGGCCUACCAAGGCGUCGACGGGUAGCCGGCCUGAGAGGGUGUACGGCCACAUUGGGACUGAGAUACGGCCCAGACUCCUACGGGAGGCAGCAGUGGGGAAUAUUGCACAAUGGGCGCAAGCCUGAUGCAGCGACGCCGCGUGGGGGAUGACGGCCUUCGGGUUGUAAACUCCUUUCGCUAGGGACGAAGCGUUUUGUGACGGUACCUGGAGAAGAAGCACCGGCUAACUACGUG